rnacentral:lncRNA from 1 species
UGAACGAGUACUACAUGUCCUGUUAAAGCCUAAAGUGUAACUUUUGCAUUCGAUGUAUAUUCUAAUUUGUUAAAAAUGAUACAUUUGGAAGACAGCGGAUAAUAAGAAAAGAAGUUCUUUGUUAUGACUCAAACAAGGGUUGGUAGAUCCUAACCCAAAGGUUAUCGAGUGUGCACUUACACAUUGCAACUAACCAGCUUUUUGCGGUACAGACUGCCACUCCGGGCAUUAUGUUUGGCACGGACGAAAAUCGAGCUGAAUAGCUUCUUCUCGUGAAAUGCUACACUCCAAGCGGGGGUUUCAAACCAAUGUCCAGCAGUAAGAGGAAAAUGAUUCUUCUAUAACCGCUAAUCCACGAAGGAACUUGCUGAAGCGGUACAAGUAUCACUGCAAGAACUGAGUAAGAAUGCACAUAGUACCAGACUAUUACCCUGACGUGUCUCGACGUCUGUCUCAGGUGCUAGAUGAUAUAGGAGUAAAUGAGAGGACUGUCAAUGUGAGGAGACGUACUAGGCUGCUGAGGGAGAGUAUGCUGACAUUGAAAGAGAAUGUUCUCGGUGAGGACAUAA